CUACGGGAUGCUGCAGUGGGGAAUAUUGGACAAUGGGGGAAACCCUGAUCCAGCAAUGCCGCGUGUGUGAAGAAGGCCUGCGGGUUGUAAAGCACUUUCGGUUGGGAGGACUGCUUCUAGCACUAAUAUUGUUGGAAGUUGACGUUACCUUCAGAAGAAGCACCGGCUAACUCCGUGCCAGCAGCCGCGGUAAUACGGAGGGUGCAAGCGUUCAUCGGAAUUACUGGGCGUAAAGCGCGCGUAGGCGGCUAGAUCAGUCGGGUGUGAAAGCCCCGGGCUUAACCUGGGAACUGCAUCCGAUACUGUCUAGCUUGAGUACAGGAGAGGAGAGUGGAAUUCCACAUGUAGCGGUGAAAUGCGUAGAUAUGUGGAGGAACACCAAUGGCGAAGGCAGCUCUCUGGCCUGAUACUGACGCUGAGGUGCGAUAGCGUGGGGAGCAAACAGGAUUAGAUACCCCUGUAGUC
rnacentral:rRNA from 1 species